GAGUUAUUUUCAUUCCAUUAUACUUACUAUCGUGUUAGUUAUAUCGAUAGUAAUUUUGCUAAGGAAAAAAAAACUAAGACAAUUUACUUUGGCUGCUCAAAUACCUGGUCCAAAAGGUCAUUUUAUUGUCGGAAGCCUGACGAUUUUAAUUCGACGACAAAUAAAGUUUAUAAAGAACUUGAAACAAUUAUGUAAGAAGUACAAGCAUUCAUUAUUUAAAUUUUGGUUUUUUAACAAGUUGGUUGUUUGUGUAUCCAACGCCGAUGAUGUAGAGGAAGUAAUGAAUAGUUUAAACUGUUUUCAAAAGAAUAUACC